UAGGUCCUCAAGGCUUAGGAUGUAAGCACUGGGUCUGGUCGAAACGCAUCGCCACCUUUUGUGCUAAACCACUCAUCCUCCAUCCCACAGUCACCUUUACAUGAUGCCCUCAAUUUUCACACAAAGCAUCAUUUUAUGAAACGGUCUGAUGUGGAGCAUCUGCCCGUUUUUUGUAAAACUGCUAACCCCGUAUUCUAGAAGAAUACUCCGUCAUGCCGUCCUGUGUCCAUCCCUUGAAGACGCAGGCAGCACAUUCUUUCCACAGCUCUGCCUUAGGAAAAACCUUCUUUCUCUUGGAGCUCUUCCUGUUUUUUAGAGAACAAGGUCUGAGUAAUUAUCGCUUCUUCUCUUUGUCACAGCUGCCAGAAAGCUGGCGCUAAGUUUUGUGCUGCAAUGGAGGUCGUUUAUUUCAGCUCAGGUUUUCUGGUGAGGAUAUUUGCCUCCUUCACCUUAUUCUUUGACUCCUGUCUUUUUAUUCUUGCUUCAGUGGUUUGUGGAUUGAUUGCAUCCUUCUUAGUGUAAAUUGCCCCAAACCUGCUCUGGAAAUAGGCCACUUUCCUCUCCAUCAGGGAUGUGGGCCAGGUGGUGGCUGCGACUUGACUGUCAGAGGGAGCUGAAUGUUCUCGGAAAGACGAUGCCAGUGUUCCGAGGUACCACGCCAGGUGCUGGAAUGCAAGGUGAGGAUGACAAACUGAGAAGUGCUGUAGAGACAGGGGACAAGGAACUGCCUGGGAAGGUGCGUGAGGGCUUCCGUAGAGGUGCCCAUGGAGCCGGGUGUGGAGGAAGGUGAGGCUGGUCUGGCGGGUGGCUAAGAGGCCGUGUGGAGGGCGUCCAGCGAGGCCACUGCGUGGGCCAUGUCAAGGUGCUGGGAACCUCAGCCUGUGCGCAGGCUAUGGCAUGUGGUUCCUUUUGCUGAUCGUGGAUGGACGGUGGGAGCUGACUCAGGGAAAGGAACUGGGGAGGCCAAACUCAACAAAUGAUGACAGAGGAGGCAGCUUAACAAACACUUCAGGAACGCACUAUUAGUAACAGAAAAUAGCUGGAAACGCCCAAAUGUUCACCGUGAAAGGAAUGGUGAGACAACCGGAGGCGUGUCCCCACAGCCAAGUGCUCUGCUGCGUGAAAAAGAGCAAAGCGAGUUUAUGUAUGCAAACACGGAAGGAAAUCCAACCCAGACUGUCGACUGGAAAAAGCACAUUGCAAAAGAAUGCAUAAUCUGGGAGAUAUACGUAUGCAAAGAAAAAACCCAAAUGUAUAUUUCAAAGGCUCUCACAUGUGUCCAUAAUGGCUUCACGUUUGCACGUGCUCAGGAAAAGAUCUGGAAAGAUAAAACACAAAUUGUUAUUGGUGGUUAUUUCGGGGCAGUGGGAGGAUGGUAGCAGGAAUGACCGUGGGAACCUACCCUGUUUUUUACAUAAAGGUUGUAUUCAUCCCUCCAUUCCUGGGCUGUGACCAGGGUGUGAGCAAAGGGUAGCACCAGCCCACAGCCUGAGAAUGCACUUUACUGGGGGCUUGGGAAGAAGGCACAGAAGGCUAUCGCCCCAAUUAUAUUUUGACUCUUCUCUUCCAGUCCUCCCAAGCUCGGCUUUCCACUUACACUACUCAUGGUCUCUAAUAAAUGGCGUGCCCCUCAUUACUGAUAUCUGUUUUCUGCUGGCAGGAUUAGCGCGUUCUUUGGGCGACCGGCUGCGGUUCUCAAGACUGAUAAGGAAGCCUGCACCAAUCUCUGUUGGAGGCCAGCGUCCUGAUAAGCGUGCUCUCUGUCUCCAGGCAUCUUCCGUGGAAUCCCUCUGGGAGGGUUUUGCCUGGUACCCUAAUGCUCGUGGAAUGAACACACCGGAGGCCUGCUGUCUGGGUCUGCAGAUAGAUGAGGGUGAGAGGCUGCGUGAACCACUUCUUGCUUUGCAAGAAGCAGGCGCUGCCCUCAGAGGUCAAAUGACGAGGGUGGUGGCAGGCAUUCCGUUGCAAGACAUUUGGAUGUGUGUCCAACAGCCCUUAGCAGGGCAGGCCUGGGAAUCAGGAGACGUGGGCUGGAGUGAUCUGCAUAGAGUUAUGUUGAAGUUUUUACUUUGGCAAAAAAAAGAAAAGAAGAAGAAAUAUUUUUCUGAUGACAUAUAGCUGAGAAGUCUAUAAAUGUUUUAGGAUGACAUAGUCGGGGGGAAUCCUGGAUCAUAUCUAAAAAGAUGGAGUUUCAUAAGAAAAAUUGACUUGGCUUCAGGAAAACCAAUUGCACAGAUAUAAGGAAGAUGUGUCUGAAUGAUGGCAGGUGUGUGAGGGGCUGCGGAUCCAGAGGAUGACGUAAUGCAUUCAAGGGGUGAGAGACGCAGCCGCAGGAUGCAUUCACAACAGUGUAGAACGUGGAACGAAGGCACAGAGGACAAUCCUGGAUCCUCUGGGAAGCUCACUUUCUCAGAACUGGUUGGAAGAAGUAAUUUCCCAGGAGUCCCAUUCUAGUCACAGAAAGAACUUUCUAAGAGUGAGAGCUGUCCGAGGAUACAUAGGUUUCCUUGGAUCAGAGUGAGCUCCCUGUCGCUGGAUGUAUGCAAGCAGCCACAGGGCAGGGAGGCUGCACAGGGCCAGGUACCAGGGCUGUUCUCAUUGUCAUCUUCCUUCCCAGCAGUGGCACCAUGCAUGGCUCAGACACAAGCCAUAAUAAUUGCCUAAUUAGUGAAUUGAUGAAUAUCACAAAUCUGGAGAAAAUCGAUGGGCUGCGGUGUUCCUUCCAGGUCUGGAUGCUAUGGUGCCAUGAAAUCCCCACGAGAGAAGAGGCAUCUACUAGUUUCUUACUUCUGCUGUAACAAAUCACCACUAACUUAGUGGGCUAAAACAACACACAUUUAUUCUCCUGAAGUUCUGGAGGUCAGAAGUCCAAAAUCAGGACCCCUGGGCUGAAGUCAAGGUGUUGGCAGGGCUGGCUCCUUACAGAAGCUUUCAGGGUAGAUUCCGUCUCCUGCCUUUUCAGUUUCUAGAGGCCACCUGGAUUCCUCGACUCGUGGCCCCUUCCUCCAUCCUCAAAGCUCUCAGCUCCAAGCUCUUCCUACAUCGUCACUUUCCCUUCUCUCUUCUGUGGUCGCAUCUCCCUCUGCCUCCUGCAUAUAAGAACAUUUGUGAUUCCACUAGUGACGCACCCAGAUAAUCCAGGGUAACCUCUCCAUGUCGAGAGAGAUGUCUCCAUCUUCAUCACAUCUGCAAAGUCCCUUUUGCCACAUAAGGAAAAUUCUCAAGUGCCAGGGACUAGGGUAUGGCCACUUUCGUGGUGGGGGAGGGGGGGAGCAUGAGUUAUUUAAAUUACCACCGGGUGGAAGAGAAUAAAACCAGGAGUGGGUUAUUGGAGGCACCUCCCUGUCUGGGGAAGGGAAGAAAGUGGAACUAGGGAAGGAGGCAGAAGAAAGAAGCCACGAAGUUCAGAGGACCCACGACCACGUGGUGACCAGCAACCUGGGGAGAAGGAUACGGGGGAGUUGGAAAGAGAAGGUGGUGGCCAGGGUGGAGAAAGAUCAGGGUUUGGCCUGACUCUUUCACUGUAGCAUCCUCAGUUCCUGGAGCUGUGCCUGACAUAUAGUAGCUUCUCAAUAAGGGUGCGUUGAAUGAAUGAAUAACUGGGGAUGUUGCUACUGGCUGAAGAAACAGCUGUGCUGGUGGGCCUGGGUCAGCAUCUUCCCAAGGCCGGGCUCUGUAAAUCCCCGUGGGAAGCUGAGAUACGGGCUGGGCAUGACCUGUGCCAGAAUGAGAACUGGGCCCCGACGAGGCUAGCCUCUCCACCUGCUCUGUUUCAGAGGCUCGGCGGCCGCCUUCAGAGCAUGAGCUUUGUGUAAGGUUGCAUUGAACCCAGAGAAAAGGUGAAGGCAUGCGGCCCGGAAUACUGAUGGGGAUUUGGCACGCAGAAGUGAGAGCUCUGCGCAGUUUAAGGCCUUGGGUUUUGUCCCACUUUCUGAAGGAGAAGAUGUGAGACUUAGCAAGCACCGAGCGUCCACGUGUACACGCCAAGGAACAGAUACCGUGCCAAUGAGCAAACUGUGAUUCAGAAAACCUUCUCCCUCUUCCAAUCUUUCCUGCUUCGGAGACAGAACGCAAAUGUCCCUGCGUUCCAGCUGUAACGCAAGUCUUGCCGCUGAUUAAAGGGCAGACCUGGAAACUCUCCGGUGAGCUAUGCUCCUAACUAUGUCUCCUGCUCACUCCAUCCAGCAGACAGAGGACAGCUUUUCCUUGCUGUUUAUUCACUGGAGCUGCUGGGGCCCUUCACAUUUAAUUAUGUGUGCUUGCAAAAUAAAUGUGGAAUGAAA